GACGAACGCUGGCGGCGUGCCUAAUACAUGCAAGUAGAACGCUGAAGAGAGGAGCUUGCUCUUCUUGGAUGAGUUGCGAACGGGUGAGUAACGCGUAGGUAACCUGCCUUGUAGCGGGGGAUAACUAUUGGAAACGAUAGCUAAUACCGCAUAACAAUGGAUGACCCAUGUCAUUUAUUUGAAAGGGGCAAAUGCUCCACUACAAGAUGGACCUGCGUUGUAUUAGCUAGUAGGUGAGGUAACGGCUCACCUAGGCGACGAUACAUAGCCGACCUGAGAGGGUGGUCGGCCACACUGGGACGGAGACCAGGCCCAGACUCCUACGGGAGGCAGCAGUAGGGAAUCUUCGGCAAUGGGGGCAACCCUGACCGAGCAACGCCGCGUGAGUGAAGAAGGGUUUCGGAUCGUAAAGCUCUGUUGUAAGUCAAGAACGAGUGUGAGAGUGGAAAGUUCACACUGUGACGGUAGCUUACCAGAAAGGGACGGCUAACUACGUG
rnacentral:rRNA from 1 species